rfam:Bosea sp. RAC05, complete genome.
ACGCCCCUCGGCUCUCAGGUCCGCCGCAUCUCCUGGGAACCCGGAGGGCUCGGCCGGUCGGUUGCGGACAUUCUGGCCUCCUCAGAACCGCCGCCGGCCGGCCACCUC